CUUUAGCCCCGAUUGAAGCUUUGUUUGAGCUCAUUUUUAGUUUUCGGAGCGGCGGCGAAGCCGCCGCUCCGAAAACUAAAAAUAGCGAGUGCGGAAAGCGGGAAACAGC
rnacentral:misc_RNA from 1 species